CGGCCUGGACGUGAGAGGCCAUGUCCUCAAGUCACUCUGCACACCAUGUCCCUCCCGGUCUGAGUGGGUGAGAGGAAGACGCACCUUCUCCUGACCUCGUCUCCACCCAUCCUGGGGAGGACAGCGAGCCCAGGGGGCUCUUGGUUGUGACUCUGCAACAGAAGAGCUCAGGGACUGAACGCCUGGGAGAGGUGGCCCAGCUAUCCAGCAAAUCCUCUGUCAUCCUGGGGUCCAUGCAGCACCCGCAAGCCUACCAUGCAAAGCCCGGCAGGACAUCCUGUUUCCACGCCUCUGUCACCACGAGAUGGAACGCUGCUCAGCCAUUUCAGAGGAGCUUGUGCUUGCUGCUUCCUGCUCCGUUUAGCAUUGAGUGCUUCCAAAUUAGGAGCAGGAGUCUUGGGAGAGGGAAAUGGCUCUGAGUCUGCUGAGGAUGUCGGAGGACAGCUUCAACAACUUCAAUAAUAGCUUCGGAGCAGAGGCCUGUAUGGUCUGGAAACGAUGACAAGUGAAAGCUAAAGACUUUCACUGCCUCAGAGAACAGGGGAAGAUGGACCCUAAGUACACAGGACAAGAGAUAGGAAGCCUACUCUCGUGUGGCUGCCUUUAUUCCUCACACAAAUGAAACAUCCAGCGAGCACGCAGACGUCUGCUCUCUGCUCCAGGAUUUAGAUGUCCCGCAUCUCAGUCUGUGUGGAACAUACCUCUGUCAUUCUGAGGAAGCAGUGGUCAUAUUGACAAUAUUCACCCUAAAUCUGUCUGAAUUCUUUUUUUUUUAAAGUUAAACUUAAUUUAGUGUAUUGUUUGCUUUUUAAAAAUAACUAAAAUAGAUUCACACUUUAUCUAACAUCAGUCAUUCUUAACACAAAUGAGCCUGACUGGGGCAUACUUUUCUUUAUGCCACUUCAACAGACCCUAAGUUCCAUCUGUGGUUAUCACUCUAAGUAAAUAAAAAUAUUUAGAAUGCA